GACUAUCCCUCCAAAGUCCAAACAGAAUAAUUGAUUUUAUUUUAAAAUAGAAAAAAGUACUAAUGUCCAAAAAUAUCAAAUGCUCUCUUCGCUAGGUUUCUUUGCUCCAAUAGUAGUUAUUUGCUGCGUUUCUUCUCCAUAAAAUUCUCAAUAUUUUCUCCGCUCAAACAUUCUCACAAUCUCUCAAAUCGCUCAAAUCACAACAUGUGAACCACUCGGUAGAGACAACUUAAAAGCCCUAAUCGCACAUUGUGAAUUGUAACUCCAUCCGGAAUAGCCGAUCGUCUAAAGCCAAAGAAGGAAGGAGGAAGAUUCAAAGUUUGAAAAUCAUUGCGAAGGUAAGCUGUUCGAAGUUUUGAAGGACCGUAAAGAAGAUGGAUAGCUUUUGUUGACCCAAUUCUCCGAUUUGGCUGAUGCAUUUGGAAAUCCACUAGCAGAAGCAGAGCUAUUCAAACAAGCUUACAGAAAUAGGGAUGGUGUUGUUAGCUUGGAUGAGUUAGCCGCAAUUCUAGCUAUACAACAAGAAAGGUAAGCUCUCAAAGUUUCAAUGCCUUUAUGUAAUCAUAUUUUCUUUUAGUACUACUGCUCUCAAUAUUCACAUAUAAAAUCUCACCACCUAAAUUUGUAUUUGUCCAUAUCUUUGUGCUGAGGAAUGCUUGUAAAUUGUUGUGACGUGUGAUUGCUAUUUGGUUUACUUAAUUAACGGAGGGUAGUGGUUGCAUUGUGUAACUUCUUUUGAAACUUUUUGUGUAGUGCCUUCUAAAUUUUCAGGCAAAUUUUCCUAAGAUUACUGCGUAGAAAAUAGAUUUUUUGAUGCUAGAGUGUGGGGUAGGUUUGUUCUAAUGCUUUAAUCUUCCAGCAUCAUCAAUAGUACUGGCUGCUUUUUCUGCUUCAUGCAUUAUCAUCCUCUAACUGAUUAUUACAUGUUCAUUUUAUAUCUUUGUUUCUGGUGUGCUUUUCGCAUUUGGCUUCUGGCAAAGAAGAGUUAACAGACUACCUUGGUGACAAUGAAUAAUGUAAACGAAAAUAUAUUCUCGUGUUUAUUUUCAAAGAGUUCAUAUGGACACUGUUCCUCAUCUUAUGAUGUAUUACUUCCGGAUUUGUUUCUAUGAAGCAAAGCGGUUAUGCUACAUUCAAACUGGAUUCCUCUGAGAAGGUAUAGAAAUGGUGCCUAAUCAUUUUUCCAAUUUCUCGAUUUAUCCGGUGGAAGAUAUACCAUUGCUCACAGUCUUACGUUAUUUUAUACAGGAAGGAGAAAAGUCCUAUGAGAAGUGCUAUUUGGUUCACAUAUAAGAGUACAUUCUUAUGGUUUCUCAAAUUUUUUGAAGGAAAAUGGUAUCUGUUAUGUUGAAAAUAAUACAAAAAAUCAUUUUGCCUUUUUUUGGGCGGCGUGCUUACCCGGAUAUUUAUUCUUAAUUGUAGUUGUAUAUGUGAGUUUGGUGGCAUGUAAUAUUAGUUAUGUUUAAUUGUUGUCUCUUUUUUCUUGUCAAGCAAUUAUAAAGAUUUUUGACUUACCAUUGAAGCUUCCUCUUUACUUGUGAAAAUGGUACAUAACUCUCAUUUACAAUGUUGAAUACCUCUUAGACAUAUGUGACGUGCCUUUAAAUAAUGCAAAGGCCCGAGCAUGGCGCGGGCACUCUCAUCUAGUUUAUUUAUGAAGGAAAGUGAAACCAAAAGAUGGAACCUGCUUACUGCUUUUGAAAUGAGCCUUUUAUAGUUUUACAAGUAAAAAAUACUUGUCCUACUUUUUAUUGAUGUUGUUUCUCAAAUAUAGUUUGAGUUUCUUACUUUAAUGGUUUCAAACAUUGAAAAUUAUUGAGUAUGAACUGAAUCAAACAGUUACAAGGGUUUGGUGAUGGGACCUGCAUAUUUUUCCAUCUUGCUCCAAUUCCAGAUGGUUAUUUACUUUUUGUUUUAUUAGUUAUAUAUCAAUUCUUUGAAGGAGGAGUUAACUUUCUAAAUACUGAUAACACGGUAAGCUGUCAAGAAAUGUUGUAAGAUUAGGAACUAGGAAGAGAAAGAGAUACUUUUCAUGGUAAAAACGAUGUCUAAUUGAGUGUCAUGGUUUAGUUCGCUGCAUUUUUUAUUAUACAAUAGUAUAAAUUUUCAUGUCUCAGUUCUAAGUAUUUCACAAAUAUAGUUCAUGAUGCUUAUGUCUUUAAUUUCAUAAAUAAAAUCAGUAUUGAAGUAGAACCGGUGCUUUACUGACUAUAUUUGGCAUGAAUAUCAAACAUAAUGUUACAUUUGUGUUUAGGAUAAAUCUGAAGUUUGUGGCGGGCUGCGAAAUCAUAAGUUGCAAGCCUUUGUGAUCAGCACUAUGCAGAGGCUUUUUAGAGCAUGGAAAGACGAGUUGCAAAUGAAUAUGGAACAAGAGUUGCAAAGGAGGUUGGAAGAGGAGCGUGAACAAGUGGAUAUAGAACAAUAAGCUGCUUUGAUGACCCGAAUGCAACAGGUCCAAGGUCCAAGGUUCAUAAACAAUGGUGUGGACCAAGGAGGAGUUUGAAGGCACUUAAUGUUUUUUUUUCAACAUAUGUAUAUGCAUAGAAUGAAAAUUAAUAAUAAAGUAUUGUGUGAUCUAUAUUGUAAUUGACUUUUUAGUAAUGGAAGUAAUUUUAAUAUUUUGUUUGAGAA